UUAAGUGAAUAAGGGCGCACGGUGGAUGCCUUGGCACUAGGAGCCGAUGAAGGACGGGACUAACACCGAUAUGCUUUGGGGAGCUGUACGUAAGCUAUGAUCCAGAGAUUUCCGAAUGGGGGAACCCAACAUCUUUAAUAGGAUGUUACGAUUGUGUGAAUACAUAGCACAUUCGAGGUAGACGCAGAGAACUGAAACAUCUAAGUACCUGCAGGAAGAGAAAGAAAAUUCGAUUCCCUGAGUAGCGGCGAGCGAAACGGGAAAAGCCCAAACCAACAAGCUUGCUUGUUGGGGUUGUAGGACUCCAAUAUGGUAGUUCUUUCAGAUAGUCGAAUGACUUGGAAAAGUCAGUCAAAGAGGGUAAAAACCCCGUAGACGAAAUGUGGAAGACACCUAGGAGGAUCCUGAGUACGGCGGAACACGAGAAAUUCCGUCGGAAUCCGGGAGGACCAUCUCCCAAGGCUAAAUACUCCCUAGUGACCGAUAGUGAACCAGUACCGUGAGGGAAAGGUGAAAAGCACCCCGGAAGGGGAGUGAAAUAGAACCUGAAACCGUGUGCCUACAACAAGUCAAAGCCCGUUAAUGGGUGAUGGCGUGCCUUUUGUAGAAUGAACCGGCGAGUUACGAUUGCAUGCGAGGUUAAGUUGAAGAGACGGAGCCGCAGCGAAAGCGAGUCUGAAUAGGGCGUUUGAGUAUGUAGUCGUAGACCCGAAACCAUGUGAUCUACCCAUGUCCAGGUUGAAGGUGCGGUAAAACGCACUGGAGGACCGAACCCACGUACGUUGAAAAGUGCGGGGAUGAGGUGUGGGUAGCGGAGAAAUUCCAAACGAACUUGGAGAUAGCUGGUUCUCUCCGAAAUAGCUUUAGGGCUAGCCUCGGAAUUGAGAAUGAUGGAGGUAGAGCACUGUUUGGACUAGGGGCCCAUCUCGGGUUACCGAAUUCAGAUAAACUCCGAAUGCCAUUCAUUCAUAUCCGGGAGUCAGACUGUGAGUGAUAAGAUCCAUAGUCGAAAGGGAAACAGCCCAGACCACCAGCUAAGGUCCCAAAAUAUAUGUUAAGUGGAAAAGGAUGUGGGGUUGCACAGACAACUAGGAUGUUGGCUUAGAAGCAGCCAUCAUUUAAAGAGUGCGUAAUAGCUCACUAGUCGAGUGACCCUGCGCCGAAAAUGUACCGGGGCUAAACAUAUUACCGAAGCUGUGGAGUACACCUUUAGGUGUAUUGGUAGGAGAGCGUUCUAAGGGCGUUGAAGGCAGAUCGUGAGGACUGCUGGAGCGCUUAGAAGUGAGAAUGCCGGUAUGAGUAGCGAAAGACAGGUGAGAAUCCUGUCCACCGAAUGACUAAGGUUUCCUGGGGAAGGCUCGUCCGCCCAGGGUUAGUCGGGACCUAAGCCGAGGCCGACAGGCGUAGGCGAUGGAUAACAGGUUGAUAUUCCUGUACCCGUUGUUUUUGUUUGAGCAAUGGAGGGACGCAGGAGGCUAAGGAAUGCAGACGAUCGGAAAUGUCUGUCCAAGCAGUAAGUCUGAAGAGGAGUCAAAUGCUUCUUUUCUUAAGGACAAGCUGUGAUGGGGAGGGAAAUAAUAGUACCGAAGUUCCUGAUGUCACACUGCCGAGAAAAGCUUCUAGUGAGAAAACAGCGGCCCGUACCGCAAACCGACACAGGUAGUCGAGGAGAGAAUCCUAAGGUGAGCGAGAGAACUCUCGUUAAGGAACUCGGCAAAAUGACCCCGUAACUUCGGGAGAAGGGGUGCUGAUCAUACGAUCAGCCGCAGUGAAUAGGCCCAAGCGACUGUUUAUCAAAAACACAGGUCUCUGCAAAAUCGUAAGAUGAAGUAUAGGGGCUGACGCCUGCCCGGUGCUGGAAGGUUAAGAGGAGUGCUUAGCGCAAGCGAAGGUACGAAUUGAAGCCCCAGUAAACGGCGGCCGUAACUAUAACGGUCCUAAGGUAGCGAAAUUCCUUGUCGGGUAAGUUCCGACCCGCACGAAAGGCGUAACGAUUUGGGCACUGUCUCAACGAGAGACUCGGUGAAAUUUUAGUACCUGUGAAGAUGCAGGUUACCCGCGACAGGACGGAAAGACCCCAUGGAGCUUUACUGUAGUUUGAUAUUGAGUGUCUGUACCGCAUGUACAGGAUAGGUAGGAGCCGUAGAAAUCGGAACGCUAGUUUCGAUGGAGGCGCUGGUGGGAUACUACCCCUGCGUUAUGGCCACUCUAACCCGCACCACUAAUCGUGGUGGGAGACAGUGUCAGAUGGGCAGUUUGACUGGGGCGGUCGCCUCCUAAAAGGUAACGGAGGCGCCCAAAGGUUCCCUCAGAAUGGUUGGAAAUCAUUCGAAGAGUGUAAAGGCAGAAGGGAGCUUGACUGCGAGACCAACAAGUCGAGCAGGGACGAAAGUCGGGCUUAGUGAUCCGGUGGUUCCGCAUGGAAGGGCCAUCGCUCAACGGAUAAAAGCUACCCUGGGGAUAACAGGCUUAUCUCCCCCAAGAGUCCACAUCGACGGGGAGGUUUGGCACCUCGAUGUCGGCUCGUCGCAUCCUGGGGCUGUAGUCGGUCCCAAGGGUUGGGCUGUUCGCCCAUUAAAGCGGCACGCGAGCUGGGUUCAGAACGUCGUGAGACAGUUCGGUCCCUAUCCGUCGCGGGCGUUGGAAAUUUGAGAGGAGCUGUCCUUAGUACGAGAGGACCGGGAUGGACUUACCGCUGGUGUACCAGUUGUUCUGCCAAGGGCAUUGCUGGGUAGCUAUGUAGGGAAGGGAUAAACGCUGAAAGCAUCUAAGUGUGAAGCCCACCUCAAGAUGAGAUUUCCCAUUUCUUUAAGAAAGUAAGAUCCCUGAGAGAUGAUCAGGUAGAUAGGUCAGGAGUGGAAGUACAGUGAUGUAUGGAGCGGACUGAUACUAAUCGAUCGAGGACUUAACCAA
rnacentral:rRNA from 1 species